rnacentral:rRNA from 1 species
UCCUACGGGAGGCAGCAGUAGGGAAUCUUCCGCAAUGGACGAAAGUCUGACGGAGCAACGCCGCGUGAGUGAUGAAGGUUUUCGGAUCGUAAAACUCUGUUGUUAGGGAAGAACAAGUACGAGAGUAACUGCUCGUACCUUGACGGUACCUAACCAGAAAGCCACGGCUAACUACGUGCCAGCAGCCGCGGUAAUACGUAGGUGGCAAGCGUUGUCCGGAAUUAUUGGGCGUAAAGCGCGCGCAGGCGGUCCUUUAAGUCUGAUGUGAAAGCCCACGGCUCAACCGUGGAGGGUCAUUGGAAACUGGGGGACUUGAGUGCAGAAGAGAAGAGUGGAAUUCCACGUGUAGCGGUGAAAUGCGUAGAGAUGUGGAGGAACACCAGUGGCGAAGGCGACUCUUUGGUCUGUAACUGACGCUGAGGCGCGAAAGCGUGGGGAGCAAACAGGAUUAGAUACCCUGGUAGUCCACGCCGUAAACGAUGAGUGCUAAGUGUUAGAGGGUUUCCGCCCUUUAGUGCUGCAGCAAACGCAUUAAGCACUCCGCCUGGGGAGUACGGCCGCAAGGCUGAAACUCAAAGGAAUUGACG